UUUUUUUUUUAAUUUUUUUUUUCCGACCACCUUGGCAGUAAGAACACCAAUUUCAGUGUUGGUUUGUGCUAUUUUUUUGAGUUGGUUUCCUAUUUUAGAGUUGGUUUCUCUAAAAUUUAGAAUUUGAAAGAAGCCUGGUGAGUUUGCUCAGAGUUUCAGUUGCAGAUAUUUUAUCUGUAUGAUGUUCACCAUAAAUUGAAGUUGUAAUAAAAACAGCCUUCCUAAUUAGAUCAUCUUCUGUAUCAAAAUUGUGUCCCUCUUUUAGCAUUAGUUUCUAGUUUCUACUUUCUAGUAGUGUGGCUCUGCAUAGUCCCUUGAGAAUUCUUCUGUCUUUUAUAAAUUUUAAUAUCAAAGCCCUCUGUUCUGCAUCAAUUAUUUUCUUUCAAAUAAGAGUAUUUGGCAAAGCCCUCUAAUUUUCUACUUUCUAUCAAAGCCCUCUGAUUUGUGGACUUUUAAGGGUAAGUAGGUUGGAUGAGGCAUUGAAGCUUUUCAGUGAUAUGGGAUCUUUGGGAGUUGAACCUACUGCUUAUACAUAUAUCCUUUUCAUUGACUACUAUGGAAAGUCAGCCUUGCUGAAAUGGGUAGGCUUGGAGAAGCAACAGAUAUAUUUAAUGGGCUUAAAAAUAGUGGGAUUGCUCCAGAUUCAGUAACUUAUAACAUGAUGAUGAAGUGCCACAGUAAGCUGGGCCAAGUAGAUGAAGCCAUUAAAUUACUCUCUGAGAUGAUGGAAAACGAAUGUGAACCAGAUGUUAUUGUAAUUAAUUCUUUGAUUGACACACUUUACAAGGCUAACCGGGUUGAGGAAGCAUGGCAAAUGUUUUGCAGAAUAAAGGACAUGAAGCUUGCUCCUACAGUUGUGACCUACAAUACAUUAUUAGAUGGGCUAGGGAAGAAGGGUGAAGUCCAAAAAGCCAUGGAGUUGUUUGAGAGCAUGACUAGGCAUGGGUGUCCUCCAAACACAAUAACUUUCAACAUACUCCUGGAUUGUCUUGGCAAGAAUGAAGAGGAUGAUUUGGCCUUGAAAAUGCAUUUUGAGAUGAAAAAUUGAAAAAUUGUAGUGAUGAGCUGUUAUUAUUGUGAUUAACAAUGUAGUUGGGAUUAAGACCGAAAGUAUAGAUGAAAACUGUGGAACACCCUUUGAUAAGAUCAAUAUAAUUGUCUUUAUUUCCAA